CCCGAUUCACAGUCGUUGACGCUGAAAGGAAGAGAGACUAUUCUAUUCAGCUUUUUCGGGUGGGCGCUCCACUGCUGCAGACACGGUUCUACCCAUGUGGAUGAUAGGGAUUGUUGCAGCUGUCAUCAAUCCCCAAGAAUCAACCGGAUGCUAGAAAUGGCUGGUUUAAAAUAGUUGUAACUUCUAAUGGGAAAUUCACUUCCAUAUCCCUUUCCAAAUACUACAAGGAGUCAAUUUUGGUGCUGGAUAACUUGUUCAUUUGCUGAAUAUGCCAGCAGAUGAAUGUCAU